GAGCUCCAGCUGAGGGCAGAGCUCUGGCUGCAGAUCCCAGCUUGGGGGGCUCCAGACCUGUUGCUCCCCGCACAGGGCUGGUGGAACGUGGAGUGCGAAGCUGCUGGGGGUCACGGUGGGGCAGCAGGAGCAGCUCCAGCUCUGUCUGCACCGAGGAUGUGGCUGCCAGGUGUUGGGAGGGCACAGUGGGGAUCUAUGAGGAGGAGGAUGAUGGCAGUGGGCAGGAUGGGGCCCCGCUCCCAUGUCUGUGUCCCUGGCAGGAUGUGUCCCCACAGCUGAUGAGGAGGGGGAGCCUGGAGUCGCUGGGAGCCAGGAUAUCUAGGCUGAGCCAGAGUGGGGCUGAGACCCCCUGCCCGGCCACCUCCAAGCACCCAGCACAGGGGAGGGGGGAUGCAUCCCACUGGGGACCACGCUCCAAGGCAAAGCCCUCAGUCACCUCUCUGCAUGGUGGGGAUGGGGACGCUGGACAUCUCCGGAGACCCUCAAGCAACUCAACCAGCAGGAGCAGGGCCAGGGCCAUGGGACAUCGCAGAUGGCAGGAGCUACCAGCACAACGGGGGAGGCAUGGAGGGGAUGUCAUCCUCACUGCGGAGAAGGAAGGAAAUGGUGAUGGGAGGAGGAGAGCUCUCUGUGAGUGUGCUGCUGGCCUCAGGGUGCUGGAGCUGAAGCAGGCGACCAGGAGGGAUCACAGGGGGCUUGGUGGGGCUGGGGACCCUCCUGGGGCUGGGUGAUGGUGGGGCCAUGUGGCAGCGAGGGUGGGCAGCCCAGGGUCAGUCUCACUUGUUGGUGGGUUUGUGGUGUCCCCAGCCCUCUCUUACAGGCACCAAAGCAGCAGUGGAACCUGCUGGGAGAUGCAGCCCCCGGGCAGAGAGGCAGCAUGGGGUGUCCUGCCCAGGGCUUGCAGCAGAGCCCCGCUGGCAGUACUGGAAGCAGAAGGCCGUCCUGUCCCACAGGCUGGCAGCACUGCGCCGGGCCCUGAGGAGCAGCCAGGAGGGGAUGCAGGAGCCAGGAGCUGGAGAUUGGGGCAUGCAGAGCGAUGGGGAUGGGGUCAGGGCACGUGCGUGGGAUCGUGUGGAGAAAGUGCAGGAGCAGAAGGGCUGUGCUGGAUGCCCAGGGAACGUGAGGAGGAAAAUGCUGGAUCUCAGAGAAGAGAAGCGGGAGCUGCAGGAGAAGCUCUGUGGGCUGGAGCUCCAGAUGUGCUCCAUGCUGCGGCAGAGGCAGGAGGCCCUGGGGCAGCUGCGGGCAGUGCUGCAGAAGGAGAGGAUGGCUGCAAUCCAGCAGCUGCAGAAGAGCCUGGAGAAGGUGAAUGGGGCCGUUUGUCAGAAAUAUCACCUGGAAGAGCUGGCAGCCCCAAGAGCCCUGAAGGAGCCACCGACCCCAGCCAGAGCCCUGCGGGAUGCAGAGAUCACUGUGCCUGGCCUCCAGCAGCACCAACGUGGGGUCCCAGGGGUCCUGCACCACAUCCAGUGCUGCCUGCGGGAGCUGCAGGUGAAUGACUUCAGUGUGCUGGGAGCAGAGCUGGGCACGACAGCAAGUGAGGAGAGGUUCCUGAUGCCACCUCUUGCCGUUCCUCCAAGCCCCAAUGGGAACAAGCUCACUGCUACGAUCAGGACUCGAGAUGAAGCAUGGAGGAGAAUGCCCAAGGAGAGUUUCUCUGCGUGCGAGGGGGGAAAUGAGCAUUUCGUGCAGUACUGAUUGCUGCACUUUUGUGCAGGAGGAGAGAGGGGGUGCAAAUGGAAAUCUUUGUCUGCUUUCUUCCCAAUCAAAAUAAAAACGUUCCUCACGAUGUUUUUCUGGAGUGG
rnacentral:lncRNA from 1 species